AUGUGAACUGACUCAAGAGAAGACUUUGUAGAUGCUGACUUCUGAGCUUUAUUCUUUGCUGCUUCUCUUUCUGCUUGUUCUUCUCUGACCAUUUGGUGAAAGACAUCCAUUAUUGAAACUUCCUCAGAGUUAAGAGGAGAUGGUUUUUCUAGUUGUGGUUCAUCAUGUGGUGGAGAGUUGUCAUUAAAGCAUCCAAGUACUUUAGUGUCUUCAUUGGAUUCCUCUUCAUUUUAAGGCUCAAGAAUGGGAGAUUUCCUUGCUGGAACAAAUUGUUGUUCAUCACCUU
rnacentral:lncRNA from 1 species